rnacentral:rRNA from 1 species
UCAGUAACACGUAGUCAACAUGCCCAGGGACGUGGAUAACCUCGGGAAACUGAGGAUAAACCGCGAUAGGUCACUACUUCUGGAAUGGGUAAUGACCCAAACCUAUAUGGCCCCUGGAUUGGACUGCGGCCGAUCAGGCUGUUGGUGAGGUAAUGGCCCACCAAACCUGUAACCGGUACGGGCUCUGAGAGGAGGAGCCCGGAGAUGGGCACUGAGACAAGGGCCCAGGCCCUAUGGGGCGCAGCAGGCGCGAAACCUCUGCAAUAGGCGAAAGCUUGACAGGGUUACUCUGAGUGAUUUCCGUUAAGGAGAUCUUUUGGCACCUCUAAAAAUGGUGCAGAAUAAGGGGUGGGCAAGUCUGGUGCCAGC